AACCAGCACCUCAAGUGGUCAGGAUGAUUAUUGAGCCUAAAGCAUCCGUAGCCGGCUCUGUUAGUUUUCGGUUAAAUCCAUGUGCUUAACUCAUGGGCUGUCGAAAAUACUGCAGAGCUAGGGAGUGGGAGAGGUAGACGGUACUCGAUAGGAAGUGGUAAAAUGCUUUGAUCUAUCGAUGACCACCUGUGGCGAAGGCGGUUUACCAGAACACGUCCGACGGUGAGGGAUGAAAGCUGGGGGAGCAAACCGG
rnacentral:rRNA from 1 species